rnacentral:rRNA from 1 species
GACGAACGCUGGCGGCGUGCUUAACACAUGCAAGUCGAACGGAAAGGCCCUGCUUUUGUGGGGUGCUCGAGUGGCGAACGGGUUCGUAACACGUGAGUAACCUGCCCUUGACUUUGGGAUAACUUCAGGAAACUGGGGCUAAUACCUUAUAGGAGCUCCUGCUGCAUGGUGGGGGUUGGAAAGUUUCGGCGGUUGGGGAUUUACUCGCGGCUUAUCAGCUUGUUGGUGGGGUAGUGGCUUACCAAGGCUUUGACGGGUAGCCGGCCUGAGAGGGUGACCGGCCACAUGGGGACUGAGAUACGGCCCAGACUCCUACGGGAGGCAGCAGUGGGGAAUAUUGCACAAUGGGCGGAAGCCUGAUGCAGCAACGACGCGUGCGGGAUGACGGCCUUCGGGUUGUAAACCGCUUUCGCCUGUGACGAAGAGUGAGUGACGGUAAUGGGUAAAGAAGCACCGGCUAACUACGUG